rnacentral:ncRNA from 1 species
UCUGGUGCCAGCAGCCGCGGUAAUUCCAGCUCCAAUAGCCUAUAUUUAAGUUGUUGCAGUUAAAAAGCUCGUAGGUGGACUUAGGGGUGGGUCAGCCGGUCCGCCUCACGGUGAGCACCGGUCUGUUCGUCCCUAUUGCCGGCGAUGCGCUCCUGGCCUUAAUUGGCCGGGUCGUUCCUCCGACGCUAUUACUUUGAAGAAAUUAGAGUGCUCAAAGCAGGCCUACGCUUGUAUACAUUAGCAUGGGAUAACAUCAU